GAUGAACGCUGGCGGCGUGCCUAAUACAUGCAAGUAGAACGCUGAAGGAGGAGCUUGCUCUUCUGGAUGAGUUGCGAACGGGUGAGUAACGCGUAGGUAACCUGCCUGGUAGCGGGGGAUAACUAUUGGAAACGAUAGCUAAUACCGCAUGACAACAGUUAUUGCAUGAUAACUGUUUAAAAGGGGCAACUGCUCCACUACCAGAUGGACCUGCGUUGUAUUAGCUAGUUGGUGAGGUAACGGCUCACCAAGGCGACGAUACAUAGCCGACCUGAGAGGGUGGUCGGCCACACUGGGACUGAGACACGGCCCAGACUCCUACGGGAGGCAGCAGUAGGGAAUCUUCGGCAAUGGGCGGAAGGCUGACCGAGCAACGCCGCGUGAGUGAAGGAGGUUUUCGGAUCGUAAAGCUCUGUUGUAAGGGAAGAACGAGUGUGAGAGUGGAAAGUUCACACUGUGACGGUAUCUUACCAGAAAGGGACGGCUAACUACGUG
rnacentral:rRNA from 1 species